GACGAACGCUGGCGGCGUGCUUAACACAUGCAAGUCGAACGGAAAGGCCCUGCUUUUGUGGGGUGCUCGAGUGGCGAACGGGUGAGUAACACGUGAGUAACCUGCCCUUGACUUUGGGAUAACUUCAGGAAACUGGGGCUAAUACCGGAUAGGAGCUCCUGCUGCAUGGUGGGGGUUGGAAAGUUUCGGCGGUUGGGGAUGGACUCGCGGCUUAUCAGCUUGUUGGUGGGGUAGUGGCUUACCAAGGCUUUGACGGGUAGCCGGCCUGAGAGGGUGACCGGCGGAAGGGGGAAUGAGGGACGGAGGAGAGGGGUACGGGAGGAAGGAGGGGGAAGGAGGGAAGAGGGGGGGGGGGGGGGAGACAGCUGCGCCGGGUGAGGAAGGAGGGGGUGCGGGUGGGAAAAAGAGGGCGCCGGAAACGGAGGGGGAGGGAAGGGAAUGGGUAAAGAAGAACAGGAUAACUACGUG
rnacentral:rRNA from 1 species